rnacentral:rRNA from 1 species
UACGGAGGGUGCAAGCGUUGUUCGGAAUCACUGGGCGUAAAGGGCGUGUAGGCGGUCCGCUAAGUCUGAUGUGAAAGCCCUGGGCUCAACCUGGGAAUGGCAUUGGAAACUGGCGACCUAGAGUGCGGUAGAGGGUAGUGGAAUUCCCGGUGUAGCAGUGAAAUGCGUAGAGAUCGGGAGGAACAUCCGUGGCGAAGGCGACUACCUGGACCAGCACUGACACUGAGGCACGAAAGCGUGGGGAGCAAACAGG